GCCUUCGUGGUGUAAUGGUCAGCACACUGAGCCGGUAUUUCCGGUAUUUCAGAGGUCCUUGGUUCGAUUCCCGGCGAAGGAA
rnacentral:tRNA from 1 species